UACGGGAGGAGCAGUGGGGAAUAUUGCACAAUGGGCGCAAGCCUGAUGCAGCCAUGCCGCGUGUAUGAAAAAGGCCUUCGGGUUGUAAAGUACUUUCAGUCGUGAGGAAGGUGUUAAGGUUAAUAACCUUAGCAAUUGACGUUAGCGACAGAAGAAGCACCGGCUAACUCCGUGCCAGCAGCCGCGGUAAUACGGAGGGUGCGAGCGUUAAUCGGAAUUACUGGGCGUAAAGGGCACGCAGGCGGUUAAUUAAGUUGGAUGUGAAAUCCCCGGGCUUAACCUGGGAAUGGCAUUCAAGACUGGUUAGCUAGAGUCUUGUAGAGGGGGUAGAAUUCCAUGUGUAGCGGUGAAAUGCGUAGAGAUGUGGAGGAAUACCGGUGGCGAAGGCGGCCCCUGGACAAAGACUGACGCUCAUGUGCGAAAGCGUGGGGAGCAAACAGGGAUUAGAUACC
rnacentral:rRNA from 1 species